rnacentral:tRNA from 8 species
GAUGUAGCCAAGUGGAUCAAGGCAGUGGAUUUGUGAAUCCACC